rnacentral:rRNA from 1 species
GGGGGGGGGGGGGGGGGGGGUGGGCGCGGGGGGGGGGAAGGGAGAGGGGGGUGCUGCCGUGGGUGGGACGGGUGCGCGGGUGGCGAACGGGUGGGGAGCAUGGGCGGGAUGUGCCCCCACCUUGGGUCUAGGACUGGGAAACGUGGCCUAACUCCCGCUGUGGCUGCAAGGGGUUCCCGGUUGAUGAAAACCAUUUUCUCUUGGUUGGGGAUGAGCUCGCGGGCUAUCCGCUGGUGGGUGGGGUAAAGGCCUACCAAGGCGGCGACGGGUAGCCGACCUGAGAGGGUGGACGGCCACAUUGGGACUGAGAUACGGCCCAGACUCCUACGGGAGGCAGCAGUGGGGAAUAUUGCACAAUGGGCGGAAGCCUGAUGCAGCGACGCCGCGUGGGGGAUGACGGCCUUCGGGUUGUAAACUCCUUUCGACCGCGAGGAAGCCGCCUGGUUGGAAGGGUGGGGACGGUAGUGGUAGAAGAAGCACCGGCUAACUACGU